AGACAAAAGAAAUAUGGCGCACAUGGUUGCACAUGGUGUGAUGGUGGCAGCGUAGGUGAUUGAAUUUCCAGUUUUUUCUAGGUGUUUAGGUUUGUCAAUAACUUCUGCUGAUGAGAUGCAGUAACAGAAGGAGAAGCUAGAAAUUAAAAAGAGGAAGAAACUAUGCAUCAUCAGAGGGUGUAUUCACGAAAACAGCAGGAUGUUCUCCUUCCCCUUAGAGAGAAAGGAUAAGAAGAGGAUGGCACAGUGGGUGGAAGUAUGUGACAACCCAAAGAAAUUCUGAGUGAUCUGUAGUAGAUACUUUAAAGAAAAAUUCUUCAUGAGGAAAAGAUUAACAACAUCAGCAGUUCCAACACUGAACUUACUUGUGUCAGAGGCUACCUCUAUUAAAAUAGAGCAAUAAGACACCUGGAUGCAAUUGAAAAGAAGAAAAAGGAGAUUUUAAACCUGACUACACCAAGGGAGUGGAGAACGUGAUUUUCGAUUGUAUAUUAUUAUUGAUAUAAAUAUAUUUAUUAUAUUUUAGUAAAAAUUUAAUAUAUUUCCAUUACUGCA